UACGUAGGGUGCGAGCGUUGUCCGGAAUUAUUGGGCGUAAAGAGCUCGUAGGCGGUUUGUCGCGUCGACUGUGAAAACCUACAGCUUAACUGUGGGCUUGCAGUCGAUACGGGCAGACUUGAGUUCGGUAGGGGAGACUGGAAUUCCUGGUGUAGCGGUGAAAUGCGUAGAGAUCAGGAGGAACACCCGUGGCGAAGGCGGCGCCCUGGUCCGUUACUGACGCUGAGACGCGAAAGCGCGGGGAGCGAACGGG
rnacentral:rRNA from 1 species